UACAGAGGGUGCAAGCGUUAAUCGGAAUUACUGGGCGUAAAGCGUGCGUAGACGGUUAUGUAAGUCGGGUGUGAAAGCCCCGGGCUCAACCUGGGAAUGCCAUUCGAGACUGCAUAGCUAGGGUGCGGAAGAGGGAAGCGGAAUUUCCGGUGUAGCGGUGAAAUGCGUAGAUAUCGGAAGGAACACCAGUGGCGAAGGCGGUGCUCUGGGCCGGAACUGACGCUGAGGAGCGAAAGCGUGGGGAGCAAACAGG
rnacentral:rRNA from 1 species